GUGCUUGCUUUGGCAGCACAUAUACCAAAACUGGAAUUACAGAGAAGAUUUGCAUGGGCCCUGAGCAGGAUUACAUGCAAAUUCUUGCAAGGAUCCAUAUUUUU
ensembl:snRNA Gm25112 U6 spliceosomal RNA